rnacentral:rRNA from 1 species
GUGGGGAAUAUUGGGCAAUGGGGGAAACCCUGACCCAGCAACGCCGCGUGAGGGAAGAAGGCCUUCGGGUUGUAAACCUCUGUCCUUGGUGACGAAAAAAAUGACGGUAGCCAAGGAGGAAGCCCCGGCUAACUACGUGCCAGCAGCCGCGGUAAUACGGAGGAUGCGAGCGUUAUCCGGAUUUAUUGGGUUUAAAGGGUGCGUAGGCGGCUUUGUAAGUCAGCGGUGAAAUUUUGCAGCUUAACUGUAAAAGAGCCGUUGAUACUGUGAAGCUAGGAGUUGGUGGCUGUGGGCGGAAUGUGUGGUGUAGCGGUGAAAUGCAUAGAGAUCACACAGAAUAUCGAUUGCGAAGGCAGCUCACAAAGCCAAUAUUGACGCUGAGGCACGAAAGUGUGGGGAUCAAACAAGAUUAGAUACCCUAGUAGUCC